GCAAGAGGAGAAGGGGACAACAGAGGAUGAGAUGGCUGGAUGGCAUCACUGACUCGAUGGACGUGAGUCUGAGUGAACUCCGGGAGUUGGUGAUGGACAGGGAGGCCUGGCGUGCUGCGAUUCAUGGGGUCGCAAAGACUUGGACACGACUGAGCGACUGAACUGAACUGAACUGAAGAAUCAGAUCACAAACAGGAAAAAUAUAAGAAAAUGAUGCUCCAUAAUGGAAACUAUAGUCAAAUUAUCUGGCAGCGGGAAAAAUGGAUAUGAAGGCUCACACUCUGGCAGUGCAGAGCAGCGCUGUGGUUUCGGCAGUUUGGACACAGAACGCACCUGCCACUCCAGGACGCGAAGAACACUGGGCCCCUGGAGCCACCGGCGCCGGCUGUCCCGCGGGGGUUUAGGAGACGCUCUGGGCUCUGGGCCCUGGCCCCAGACAGCUUACAUGCAUGUCCGAAGAAUAACUGCAGGGAGGCCAGAGUCUUGCAUCUACCCACGCAUAGAAAAGCAUUGAAAUGAUUACCUUGAAAUGUCUGGGGUUUCUGUGUGAUGAGCGGUAAUCCUUGAAUUUUUUUUCCUUCCAGCAAAAAAUGUAUACACCUUGGCUCUGCUCUACCCUCCUCUGAGAGGUUGGGCUAUCGAGGUCCCCAAAUCACCUAAAACUUGCAAGUUAAGCUGUAUGUUUUUCUCUGGUCAGUGGUUUUGGUGACCACAAGGGGGCCCAGAGCAGACGUCUCCCCUUCGCCAGAACUCAGCAGGGAGGCUCCUGGGCCCACUUGCCUCCCUGGGGAGCCUCCUGGGUCUCAGAUCUCCUGCUAUGGGCUGAUCCUGUCCUAUUUGCUGGUGGAUAAAUCCCUCACUGGAGGAGCAGGUUAGUUUUAAGAAGAGGUACCUGGGUUACUCUAGUUGAGAGACUCAAGGAAGGCUGAGUCAGAGACACGGAGUGUGGCUGAACUGGGACUUAGAUGCGAGACUGAUGUGUCAUUUUUCCUUGAAUUGGCUGCUGCUGCUGCUGCUGCUGCUAAGUCGCUUCAGUCGUGUCUCACUCCAUGAGACCCCAUAGACGGCAGCCCACCAGGCUCCCCCGUCCCUGGGAUUCUCCAGGCAAGAACACUGGAGUGGGUUGUCAUUUCCUUCUCUAAUGCAUGAAAGUGAAAAGUGAAAGUGAAGUCGCUCAGUCAUGUCCGACUCAUAGCGACCCCAUGGACUGCAGCCUACCAGGCUCCUCCAUCCAUAGGAUUUUCCAGGCAAGAGUACUGGAGUGGGGUGCCAUUGCCUUCUCUGAUUGGCUGCGUGAACGGGGCUAUUGGAAUACAAACAAAUAUAUCCCUUCUUUGGAGCAGCAAGCUGGUAUGAACUGUCUUUUUCCGGUCAGUGGUGGCUUUCUUGGACAGCUGGGAAACUCAUGGGAGUGGUGGAGCUUUUCACCCUUCAAAGGGCUUCCUUGGUGGCUCAGUGGUAAAGAACUCACCUGCCGAUGCAGAAGACGCGUGUUGGAUCCCUGGGUGGGGAAGAUCCCCCGCAGAAGGAAACGGCAACCACUCCAGUAUUCUUGCCUGGAGAAAUCUAUGGACAGAGGAGCCUGGCGGGUACAGUCCAUGGG
ensembl:lncRNA